AUUAGUGCGGUGACGAUAGAUUUUGUGGACUAGAGUUUCUGAUCUGGGAAUCUUCACCCACUGUUUGAUUACAAAACCCUUGGCUGUCUGAGCACUAUU